rnacentral:rRNA from 1 species
AGUACAGACGAGUUUGAUCCUGGCUCAGAACGAACGCUGGCGGCAGGCCUAACACAUGCAAGUCGAGCGCCCCGCAAGGGGAGCGGCGGACGGGUGAGUAACGCGUGGGAACGUACCUUUGCUACGGAAUAGCCUCGGGAAACUGGGAGUAAUACCGUAUGUGCCCUUCGGGGGAAAGAUUUAUCGGCAAAGGGAUCGGCCCGCGUUGGAUUAGGUAGUUGGUGGGGUAAUGGCCUACCAAGCCGACGAUCCAUAGCNGGUUUGAGAGGAUGAUCAGCCACACUGGGACUGAGACACGGCCCAGACUCCUACGGGAGGCAGCAGUGGGGAAUCUUAGACAAUGGGCGCAAGCCUGAUCUAGCCAUGCCGCGUGAGCGAUGAAGGCCUUAGGGUUGUAAAGCUCUUUCAGUGGGGAAGAUAAUGACUGUACCCACAGAAGAAGCCCCGGCUAACUCCGUG